rnacentral:pre_miRNA from 1 species
CUCUUGAAAGUAAGAAUUGGAGGAACUCAAAUAACUUGUAUCAAAAUACAUAUUAUUUGGUUUCCUCCAAUGUCUUACCUUCAAUGG